AUAUCAGUCAUGCAUAGCAUAUCAAUAAGCGGAGGAAAAGAAACUAACAAGGAUUCCCUUAGUAACGGCGAGUGAAGCGGGAAGAGCUCAAAUUUGAAAUCUUCAAGGUUUUACCUUGACGAAUUGUAGUUUAAAGAAGUGUUUUCUGUUGAAGUUUUGGUAAAAGUUCUUUGGAAUAGGACAUCAUAGAGGGUGAGAAUCCCGUAUUUGACCAUUACUUUCAGCUUUGUGAUACACUUUCAAAGAGUCGGAUUGUUUGGGAAUGCAGUCCAAAAUGGGUGGUAAAUUUCAUCUAAAGCUAAAUAUUGGCGAGAGACCGAUAGCGAACAAGUACCGUGAGGGAAAGAUGAAAAGAACUUUGAAAAGAGAGUUAAACAGUACGUGAAAUUGUCAAAAGGGAAGCGUUUGACACCAGUGUUGUUUUCUCGAAAAUCAAUUAAAAAGAGUUGGAUUUUGUGUUGUAUUGACUUUAUCAGCUUUCUUCACUCUUUUCCAGCUUUUUUUAAUGCACUUUUCGUUUAACAAGUCAACAUCAGUUUCUUUUGUUGUAAAAAGGUCAUUGGAAGGUGGCUUUCUCUUCGGAGAAAGUGUUUAUAGCCUUUGACUCAUGCAAUCGGAGAGACUGAGGUCUGCAGCGUAGAUCCUACGGGGUUAGAUACAUUUGUGCUAAGUUAUAGCUUUUCAUAGACAACUUGUUGACUAUGUUUAGUCUUGUAGCUUACUCGCUUAUGCUAUUUUACCUACGCUUAGGAUGUUGACCUCUAUCACACACAG
rnacentral:rRNA from 1 species